rnacentral:misc_RNA from 1 species
AACGCACCUUGCGCCCUUUGGCUAUUCCGAAGGGCAUGCCUGUUUGAGUAUCAUGAACACCUCAACUCUCAUGGUCCGCCAUGAUGAGCUUGGACUUUGGGGGUCUUGCUGGCAUAACCGCCGGCUCCUCUCAAAUGAAUCAGCUUGCCAGUGUUUGGUGGCGUCACAGGUGUGAUAAGUAUCUACGCUUGUGGUCUUCCAUCAGGUUACCUUCAGUGAUGGGGGUUCGCUGGAGCUCACAGACGUCUCUCCUCAGGGAGGACAGCUUUUUAAUGUUUGAUCUCAAAUCAGGUAGGACUACCCGCUGAACUUAA